GCCAGAGUGGAGCAGUGGCUUGAGCGUUGCACUGAGACUCUGAUAGCUCUGGGUUCAAAUCCCAGCUCAGCCA